rfam:Clostridiales bacterium 52_15 Ley3_66761_scaffold_15099, whole genome shotgun sequence.
ACAAUGAUACUUCCGUAAUUCGCGGCCCGGCCACAAUGAAGGCGGGGAGGUUCGAUUCCUAUGG